GAAAGAGUUUGGGAUGGAGAGAGGAGAAACUUGAGGUCUCUGGGAGUUGCUUGAACCAAUUGACUGUAACCUGGCCAGAGAAUUCUGAUAGUAUCUUCUCUCCUUCUCCCAAACAG
rnacentral:miRNA from 1 species